rnacentral:rRNA from 1 species
CCUACGGGGGGCUGCAGUGGGGAAUAUUGGACAAUGGGCGAAAGCCUGAUCCAGCCAUGCCGCGUGUGUGAAGAAGGCCUUCGGGUUGUAAAGCACUUUCAGUGGGGAAGAAAGCCUUGGGGCUAAUACCCUCGAGGAAGGACAUCACCCACAGAAGAAGCACCGGCUAACUCCGUGCCAGCAGCCGCGGUAAUACGGAGGGUGCGAGCGUUAAUCGGAAUUACUGGGCGUAAAGCGCGCGUAGGCGGUCUGAUAAGCCGGUUGUGAAAGCCCGGGGCUCAACCUGGGAACGGCAUCCGGAACUGUCAGGCUAGAGUGCAGGAGAGGAAGGUAGAAUUCCCGGUGUAGCGGUGAAAUGCGUAGAGAUCGGGAGGAAUACCAGUGGCGAAGGCGGCCUUCUGGACUGACACUGACGCUGAGGUGCGAAAGCGUGGGUAGCAAACAGGAUUAGAUACCCCUGUAGUC